rnacentral:misc_RNA from 1 species
GUGGCAUCACGGUGGUAUAGAAAAAUCCGCCAGAAUACAUGAAGCCAGCGCAAAAGAUCGCCAAAGAUCUCCCAAUUUUUGCAUUCUCUUUCAUAAUUUCUCUGUCUUCUUGUCGCAGUUGCGCGUGAAUACGAUCCCAGUCUGAGCGAAUAUUCUCGAUACAUUUUCCAAUCAUGACACCACGAGAGGCGAGGAUGUAAUAUUUAAUUGCAGCCAUCACGCAGAAGCUGAGCACACCGACCAUUUUGAUCUUUGCUUCGGGAUCGUCUGUUUUGACGAGAAGAGUGCAGAGAGCGCAAGGGAGAUAGGCCAGACUCCGAUUGACUUGAGUAACCAACGAUUUAUCUGGAUGCUAUACAUCCAAUCUUUGUCCCAUGAAUGGGUAGAUGGAUUUAGAAGGACGACCAUACUGUAUGGAAUGAUAUCAACGAGUCGAAAGUGCAC